rnacentral:lncRNA from 1 species
AGUCCUAUCCCUACGGUCCUGGAAUUGGGGGUUACUAUCUUGGAAUCUAGGGGCACUCCAGGCUCUGGGCUCAGACGGCUGGCUUCUGCCUACCCGAGCCUUAACCUUUCAAGGACCAGAAGGAUUCCAGAGCUCUUGCCCUAGGUCCUGGGGCAGCGAUGACUCACUGCAGCACCCCCUCCCACUUCGCCAAGCUGCCGUCUCCGCCCACCCCCAAACAAUCUCGACAGCGCAUUUCGGGAGCCACGGCUCCGGGCGCUUUGCUGGGGGCUAAAGGGGUUUAUCCCUUUCCUUGAAUCCCAGCAGGCUAGAACUACCCCCUCCCAGUCUUCAGGCUUGCCACGCUCUCCACCCGAUCCUUCCAUUGAAAGGCAGAGAAGGAAGGAUGUGCUUGGGAACUUUAAGACCCACGAACGACAGCGCACUGAUGGAGCAGCCCAGUGUCUGGGGCAAAGUCCUCGAGGUUCAUUCAUUCAGGAAGCCUCUGACCAGCCUUUACCAUGCGCUGAGUGAGAAGCUGAGGAUAAGGAAAGAGCAAGACCCCCAAGAAACCCUGAUGUCUGGCUGAAAGCCGAAGCAUGACGCAACUUUGCUAUAUUUCUCUCCAACAAGGAUUUGUAUAUUUUCGCUUUCUCCUCAAGUAACACCUGGACCUGCUCCUUUCCCUUCAAACGCUGAGGGCUCAGUCUCCAAGUUCCUUUAUGAAACAGGGUGUACCAUCAGAGACGCAGGUAUUUAUUGAAACCUGCUUUGUGCUGGGCAAUGUGCCAGAUGUUGGGGAUAAAAUGGUGAGCAGACAGAUCCUGUGCCUGUCUUUAUUGAGCUUGGAGCCUAGAGACUUCAGAAAUGAAGAUGCAAAGACAACAGGGGAAACCAUAUAUGUUUAUGGACAGUCAUGCCAAAGUAUGAUUGGAAGACAAAAAGAUUUUUGGCCAAUUCACUGCUCACUAACAUCUCCAUCAAAGGGAAAAACACACAUUGUAAAAUAAGAAUUCUUCAAAGACAACUUGAAGACAUCUGGGAAUUCUGAAGCCUGAAAAUUCCAUGAGUUCAUAGCAGUGUUCACUAAUUCCACUGAUCUAAAGACAAAAAGGAGAGUCAACUGCGUGCCCAAACUCAUUUCUGAUGAUUUCUUCCAUCCUAACUUUUCUGCCUCUCUGGGGGUGGUUAUGCCUGUGAAAAACAUUGAAGCUGUCAGGAACAGAGUCGGCUUUCAAGAUUGGAAUGUCAAAGUAGAGUCUUCUUUUCCUCAGACCAGAAGGGGCUUGGUUGGGUAAGAGUUUCCAGAUCUAAAUGGAGACAGGACUGGGAUAUAGGAGCUUGUACGGAUAAACAACACAAACACCUUGGGUAAGUGAUACACCAAGAGAGAUCAAAAUAGGGUAGGAACACGAUCCUAAAGCUAUGUGAGAUACGAAGCCAAGAGACCCUGUCUACAGGCUGAUAUGUAUUGCAACCAGAGGCCACCUACACUCAAGAAAAUUCUAAAUGAUGUAAUAGGUUGUGGACACUUUCUUGUAAAAAUGAUCGAUAUUUUUUUCUUAUAGGGAUAAAGCUUAAAAGCAUGGGAUGUAUCUCCAUUAGGAAAUAUGAAGUGAGUUGGUAUAUUACAGGUAGGUUAGACUGAGAUAAUUAUAAAACUGGGCUGAUUUUACAUAGAGAAGAACUUGAUUCCUAAAGGUGUUGAAGGACAAGAUGGGGACAGUUAUUGAAGUGUUCAGGUGCUGUCCUUUGUAGUCUGUAGCCUAUUAAAAUAAUACACAACUGAACACAGACCCAAGGAAAGGGGUUCUACUCAUCGCUAGAAUGUAAACUCUAAGAAGAUAAGGAUUUUGUCUGCUUCAUUUAUUACUGUAUUCCCAGCUCCUAAAAGAGUGUCCAGCACUUAGUAUCUGUUGGUAAGUACCUGUUGAAUUAAUUAACCAGUGAUGAGACUUUGGAAAGCAGCUAGUCCAUCUGUAAGAUUGUUUUCUCAUCUGUGAGAUGAGUCAGUUAGAUUAGAUGUUUUCUAAGCUUAUUCUAGUUUUAAAAUUGUAUAUUUCUAUAAGAAAUGAUAAAUGAAAAAUGUCCAUUCCUUUUUCAUCUCCAUCACCCAUCUCACAUCUUCCUUCAGUGCCUAUGUGAUCUGUUUGAGUAUAACCAGGUGUACAAAAGUACUAAGUGAUAUGAGAUGACUUCAGUAGUCCAGGGACUCUUUCUUCCCCCACUCUGUAAAGAGUUAUUUGCUUAAUUUAAUGUACAUUAUAAAAACAGAAUUUGUUUCUCAAUUUCAUUUAUACUCAUACUAUAGUUUACUUUUCACAUAAAUUUAAGGUACAAGGAAGUCAACUUAAAGAAAAUAUUUUAAGUAAAUUAUAAUGCAAGUUCUACACAGAUGUAGCGCAAACCACAAUGGUAGGACACAAGCAAUUGCUAUUUGAGAAAUAGGCCUCUUUGUCAGUACUUAUGGCACGUAUCUUAAAACCCGACUUUCACUAGUGCUCUCAAAGGAACUUAGUCACAAUUCAAGUGACCAUACCAUUUAGCUGAGGGCCCUUUAUUCCUGUUUAUGGUAAAAUAAUUGCCUUAGUUGUACUUUUAAAAAAUAUACUUUUUCUUCUUCUGACCGUAAUGGGCUAACUGCCAUUAAAGAGACCAUCUAUCAUAAACGAUUAGAGAACUGGAUAGAAUAUAUGAAGCCACUGUUUUUGGACAAUAGGCAGCACAAAACGAUGAUCCCUGAGAAAAAGGAAGGAAAUGAGGUGAUGCCUAUAAUUGCCCUGAUUUUUUGCCUGGAGAUACUGUCUGAACUGCUACUCUGGAAAGGAAAACUCAGGUGAAACAUGGGGCCUCACUAAGUAGAGGAGACAGGGUCAAUAUUGGGAAAGCUGAAAUGACUGGAAUUUGCAGGGCAGAAUAUGGGGAAGGAAGGAGCUAUGUAGGGAAAGAGCUCAAGAAAUACGCACAAAGGGGUCGGGUGCGGUGGCUCACGCCUGUAAUCCCAGCACUUUGGGAGGCCGAGGUGGGCAGGUUACUUGAGGCUAGGAGUUCAAGACCAGCCUGACCAACCUGGUGAAACUCUGUCUCUACUAAAAAUACAAAAAUUAACCGGGCAUGGCCGGAUGCGGUGGCUCCUGCCUGUAAUCCCAGCACUUUGGGAGGCCGAAGCGGGUGGAUCACAAGAUCAGGAAUUCGAGACCAGCCUGACCAACAUGGUGAAACCCUUUCUCUACUAAAAAUACAAAUAUUAGCUGGGUGUGGUGGUGCAUGCCUGUAAUUCUAGCUACUCAGGAGGCUGAGGCAGGAGAAUCGCUUGAACCCAGAAGGCGGAGGUUGCAGUGAGCCAAGACCGUGCCACUACACUCCAGCCUGAGAGACAGAGCAAAACUCCAUCUCAAAAAAAAAAAAAAAAAAAAAAAAUUAGUCAGGCAUGGUGGCAGGCACCUGUAAUCCCAGCUACUCAUAGGCUGAGGCACAAGAAUCACUUGAACCCAGGUGGCAGAAGUCACAGUGAGUGAAGAUCGCACCACUGCAUUUCCAGCCUGAGUGACAAAGUGAGAGACUGUCUCAAAAAUAAAAAUAAAAAUAAAAGAAUAUGCAAAGGAUGUUCUUGAGUUUUUGGCUGAUUAUGAAACUAUAUAGGGUAAGACUCCACAAGUGAAAGAACAGUACUUGGAAAGACAAUUACUGAAGAACUAUAAACUGAACAACUACCAGAUCUCCUCCUGAACUGAAAUAUAUUCAAGUUCCAGCCAAAGUCGAGACACACAAUUGAAUUUAUGCAUCAUUUAGUAGAGACCCCAAAAUAUUCAUGCCUCAGUAGUAAUGCAAAAUUGUCCCUACAAUAAAAACUACAGUAGCUCCCCCUUAUCCAUAGUCUUACUUCCUGGAGCUUCAGUUACCCACAGUCAACUUCAGUCCAAAAAUAUUCAAUGGAAAAUCUCAGAAAUAAGCAAUUCAUAAAUUUUAAAUUGUACACUGUUCUGAGUAGCAUAACGAAAUUUCAAGCCAGCCCACUCUGUCCCACCCAGAACAUGAAUCAUCCCUUUGUCCAGUAUAUGCUACCCUCCCAUUGGUCACUUAGGUUAUCAGAAUGACUGUGGCAGUAUCGCAGUGCUUAUACACAAGUAACCGUUGUUUCGUUUAAUAACAGCCCCCACAUGCAAGAAUAGCAAUGCUGGCAAUUUGGAUAAGCCAAAGAGAAGCCACAAAGUACUUCAAGUAAAAAUGUGAAAGUUCUUGACUUAACAAGGAAAAAAAAGUCAUGCUGAGGCAGCUGAGAUCUACAGUAAGAACACAUCUUCUAUCCUUGGAAUUGUGAAGAAGGAAAAAGAUAUUUGCUAGUUUUGCUGUUGCACCUCAAACUGCAAAAGUUACCACCACGGUUCAUGCAAAGUGCUUAGUUAAGAUGGAAAAGGAGUUACAUUUGUGGGUGCAAGACAUGAACAGAGAGGCAUUCCAAUCAAUAGCAAUCAGGUUCAGGGGGUACCUUCCUCAGUUUCAGGCAUCCACAGGGGGUCUUGGAAAGUAUUCCCCAUGGAGGGGGGCGGGGAGGGCUACUGUACUCCAUACUUGUUCUAAUAAAACUUUUUAGAAAUCUCAAAAAGAUUAAGCUAAUCUACAUGAAAUUUAAAUGCUUGCUAGAACAAAGCACAAUGCUCUUUAAGGGAGCAAAACUAAAUCCAGACAAUCAAUACUGUAACACAAUGUUUAGCAACAUGCAAUAAAAAAAUUACUAGACACACAAGAAAUUAAGAAAAAACGUCCUUUCCAUGACCAGGAGAAAAAUGCAUCAACAGAAAGAGACCCAGAAGUGAGAGAGAUGAUAAAAAUUAGUGGACAAGGACUUUCAAACAGCUAUCAGUAGUUUAAGUAUGUGUAUAAAAACAUAAAUGCAAUGAGAGAAAUGGGAACUGUAAAAAAGAACUUAGUGAAACUUCUGAAGCAGAAAAAUAUAAUAUCCGAAGUGAAAAAAUUCACUAGAUAGUUGCAAUAACAGUUUGAUAUUGCAGAAGAAAAAGGUCAGUGAGCUUGAAUAGAACAGAGAGGAAAGUAUAGUCUUUUCAACCAUUAGUGCUGUAACAAUCAGACUGUAUUGAAAAAGACUAACUUUGGUUCCUACCCCUUACCACACGCAAAAAGUAAACUAGACACAGAUCACGGAACUAAAUGUAAAACCUAAAACAAUAAAAUUUUAUGGCCUGGCCAUAAUGGAUUUCUUAGACCAUAAAAAGUACUAACCAAAAAAGACCAAAUUGUUAGAUUUCCUCAAAAGCAAAAACUUUUGCUACUGACAAAGCACCAAUAAAAAAUAAGUCAAGUCAAAGAUUGAAAGAAAAUAUUCACAGUGAACAUCAUAGAGUUGUAUCUGGACUAUAAGAAGAACUUUUAUGACUCAAUAAUAUAAAGACAACUACAUUUUUAAGAGGAGCAAAAGAUUUGAACAUACACUUCACAGAAGAAUAUAAGGGUCAGUAAACACUAAAAGAUACUCAACAUCAUAGUCACCAUAGAAACGCAAUUUUAAACCACAAUGAGAUACCACUACACACCUACUAAAAUAGCUAAAAUGUAAAAAGGCAGAUAUUACCAAGAUUUGGAGAGGUUUUAGGAGUACUGGAAAUGUCAUACAUGGGUAGUGAGAGUGUAAAAUAGUAUAAACAUCUUAGAACACAAUUUGGUAGUUUCUUAUAAAGUUAAAGACAUGCUUAUCAUAUAACUCACCAACCCCUUUUCUAGGUAUCAGCCCAAGAAAAAUAAAAAACAUAUGUCUGCUACACAGACUGCUUGUCUACCUAUGUAUCAACACUUGUUGAACAUAAUGUGAAUGAAUCUCAAAAAUAUUUUGCUGAGUAAAAGUGCCCAAUCCCCAAAAACUACACAUCAUAUGACUCAAUUUGUUUGAAGAUCUAAAACAGUUGAAGAAACCGAAGCACAAAGAAUAACUUGUCCAAGAUCACAGAGUUUAGGAAGUAAGGAAGCAGGGCUUUGAGCUUUGCAUCAAGUGAUGACCCAUAAAUGCAAAUGGAAUACAACAGGAGUGGGUCCCUAAAGUCCCACCCAGAGAAUGCCCUUCUGCCAAAAAAUUUCGGAUUGAAACAGCAAAAACACCUAAGCAACUGAUAGUCAGGUAUGGUAUUUUUCGAUGUCCAACUAUAGAACUGAAAAGAUCUUUUCUAUGGUUAGUCUACACGAAUUUCUGUUAAAGAAGGAACAAAUGCCAAACGUAGGGCAGGGUACUGUUUGACAGUAAAGAAGGAAAUUUUAGAAUUGCUUUCUGGUGGUAUCACUUAUUGCUUAUUGUUCUCCACCAAAAAGCAACUUUUAAAAAUCAGCAAUGAUUGAAGACUGUGGCUUGCUAAAGAGGACAGAUUUUUCUGGUCUAUUAUUCUGGAGUGGGGGCAGAGUGGAUGUUUGCUUAGCAGGCAGAGAGCUCAGUACUUUACAUGUGGCAUGGCAUGGUAGAUAAGGUUAGGAAUUAUGUCCUUUUUUUGUUUGUUUUUUAAGAUUUGGAACCUAGGCUCAAAAUGUGCUAAAGGUCACAUAGCUGCUAGGUGCUAAAGUGAUGAUUCAAAUCCCUGGUUUAUCUGACUACAACAGCUCUUGCUCCUUCCAUGAUCCUACCAUUGCAAUCCCACCAUAGAAAUCCUAAAUACAAAUAAGGACAGAUAUCAUUGUCCAAAAUGAGUUUCCAUUGUCGGUUUAUCUGUUGAGAUCGACAUUUUGGCUUUGAAAAAGAAAAUUACUGGUUAGUGUUUCACCCUAUUUCAACCUCUCUUUCAGCUUCCACAUGAGAUGAUUCCCUUAAAAUUUUAAUGCUUUCAAACGAACGAAAUCUAGAGAUAUUAGCUACAUUUUCCAAACAAACAAGGGGUAGGAAGGGUGGGAAAAUAACCUAACCUUGUUCUUGAGAUCAGAAAUGCUUAAAAGCAUGUGUUAAAAGCCCGAGGGAGAAAUAUUCAGUAUUUUUCACGAGUUCAGCUCAGGCUCCAUCGCCUAAUCAUUUUCUUAUCGCCAAAUAUUACAUAUUUACACAGGUGGUUCUCUGAUUUAAUUGUUUGAAAGCAGUCACUGGAAGCAAAGCUAUGUGACUCAGCUUUGGUGAUGUACUCCAGCUGGAGUCUGACAGGUAAAUAAUUACCACUAAUCAAAGCCUAGAUGAAUUCAGGUUCUUCAAAGUCAGAUGGGUGAGAAGGGGACAGGGAUUAUUAAUGAACUGUUAGGAAUAUCGGGAGAAAUAAGAGCAGGACAGUCUAGUCUCAGAUGAAAACAACAAAGAGAACAAUUAACAUCAGUAAGACCUCGGGUGCCAUGUGUAUUACAGCACAAAGAUCUUUGGCUGGGCUCCGUUAUUCCCCAUUCAGGCAUAAUUAGUUUGGGUCUCUUAGGAGCCUCUCUGGGUCUACGAAACUCAGUUGGAUGAUGAGCUAGGUCCUUCUCGGUUCUCACAGGGUAUAAUUGCAUGAUUUCCUUAAGCAGAAUUCAGAUUUCUUGACAUCAAGAGGGAAAAUCUCUUUCUCUUGCUUCUGCAUGAGUAAAUAUUGUUUAAAAUAAAAAUUAAGAAUGAACACAUUUGCUCCUUAAAAGCAAAUCAUAUGAGAUGAGUGCAUAUUAAGUGAACAAACUUAGAUGGGAGGGGGGACUAACCAUCCCUAGGGGGCCCACAGAUUUCAAUAGAAAUUUCCAUGGAGUUAUUAUGAAGGAUAACUUCCCUGAGGCUUUAGCCCCUGCAUGAUGGAUUCAAGAGCUUUACUUAAAAGUCAGCCUGUACUGGCUUGUAGAAAGCUUUCAGCCUCUUUUUGCAAGUCAUUUUUCAGCUUCCUGGUAAUGAACAAAACAGGUCUGAUAAUUUUCAAUAAUAAUCUCAGGAAAUGUGUGGUGUAGGACUGCAGCUUUCAAGCAGUUGACACAGAAAUCUAGUUCAGUCAGUGUGGAGAGUGGUGCCUGAAGACGCCUUCUGUGUUUUGGGAUCAGCCAGGAGCGCUGUAUCAGCCACAACAAGGAUAUAUUUUGACUGGUUUUCAUCAGUUUGACUUGAGUGGGUUUUUUUUUCUUUUUCUUUUUUUUUCUGCCUCUUGUAAAAGCAUUUGGCUCUGAAGCAGAAAAAGAGUUUUUUAGUUGUAAUUCAAAGUACUCUUAUUGUCUCAUAAAAUGUGAGCUGGAAGAUUUACCUUAUGGUUUGGCUGCUGGCUGGAAGUAAGAAGUAAGCAAGAGUCCAGUGCAUCAGGGGAAAAUAUUAAAUGACCCCUUAAGAUUCUCUUUAGCCUGAAAUUAUGGUCCGUACCCUUUUCACCCUGAGCAGAAUUCCCAACAGGCCCUUGAAUGAGGAGAUCUGGGAGAAACAUGCCUUCUUUGGUCAGAAUGAGCACCCCAAAUAUAAUAAUCCAAAAGAAAAAUAGCAACAUCUUAAGGAAAUGGUUUUGAAUGAGAUCUUCCAAGACACAAUAGUAUGUGCUGACUCAGGGAAACAAGGCGACAUGCUGAAAACAUUUGCAGGCCUGGAAAAUAACUGGUUUAAUAAUUCAAGAUGCUUUUAAGUUACACAAAACUACAAAAAAACAAAUAAACCUCCAUUCCCAAAGUGAUGUUAUAUGUGAGCCACUCGUGAAAUGAAAGAAACAGAGCUUAAAGUCUGAUGCAAAUUCAGCUUUGUGAAACUCUUAAACAACUGACAAAGAAAUUUACCACCCCACACCACAUCCCAAAUGGACUAAUGGAAAUAUUCUUUUCAUGACUUCAAAAUAUUUAGAUGAAAAGUGAAAUAUUUAGUCAAUACCCUAGAUGUAUUUUCAUCUGGGUAUCAUGCAUCUGAGUGUUUCCAAGGGGAUUUUCCAAGUGUUCCUAGGAUAUACAUCAGGGUGUCUCAACCCUGGCACUAGUAGCACUAGUAAUGCUUUGGACUGGAUAAUUCUUUGUUGAGGGAGUUGUCUCCUGCAAGGUGGGAUAUUUAGCAGCAUUUUUAGUUUCUACUCAUGAGACACCAGUAGCACUCCCCAAGUUGUGACAACCAAAAAUGUCUCCAGAUAUUGCUAAAUGCAAAAUUGCCAGGAGCUAAGAAUAUACUUCAUUUUUACUCAUUAAAUCCCAAAUGCAUCCUAUGAAAUACUGUUUCUGUUAUGAUCCUAUUUGUUCCAACUUUAUAAAUAACUAAAUGUGGCUUAGAAUGCAUUAAGUGACCUGUUUGAUUUCACAGUCUACUAAAGACAGGACUUCAACAGAGCCUACACUCUUUGUCCUAACACUGUAGGCACACACAAUUUGACUUAAACAAUACUGUAGAUGCUCUAUGGUCUAAGAGUUCCAAACAUACAGAAAUAAACACUUUCUUCAAAGAAUCACAGAAUGACUCUAUUCAAAUGUCUUCUCAGUUCAAAGAUGUACAUUGGAAGUCAGGAAGGACCACACAGUUGUCCAUGCCUGGAUGUGGGUAGCUGAGCCAUAUGUAAUUGCUUCAAUUUGCUGCUUAUUACUUGUACAUUCUUUCAGUUACCUGAGUGGAUAGCUAAGUCUAAAGAGCCCAUCAGAUCCAUCAUAAAGCAGAUGGUGUAAACACUAGUUGACAGUAAACAUAUUGUGACAAUGGAAAGGGAAGAGAAUUUGUGAGAUAAACAUGCCUAAGGUUUUCUGUUUACUAGCCCUGGAAAUUUUUGAAAAUUAACUUAUUUUAGCUUCUCAUUCCUUUAUCUGAAAAAGAAUAAUUGUAGCUAUCUUACAAGGUUGUUGUAAGAAGCUAGUACAUGCAAAGCCCAUGAUAUAGAACUUGGUAUGUAAUAGGCACUUGAUAUAUGGCAGCCAUUAUUGUGAUUCAUUUAAUGGCUAUGAGACACAACAGGAGAUCCCUCUAUUUUCAUGAGAUGAUUGGUGGAGGAGAGGAACCUGAUAAUGUUUACUGAGCUUUUACUACAUGCCAAGCAAGCACUGUACCAAGUGCUUUACAUGAAUUAUUGGAUUUCAUUCAUGAAGUUGAUUCCUUGCUGAUUAUAUUAAGCACUCUUUCUUUUGGUUUGUUUACUUAUCUACUAUCUGUCUUACUUACUUACAGGAGGGCAAGGAGCAUGUCUGUUUUAUUCUCUGCUAUAUACCAGUGCCUUAUACCUCAAUCAAUGUUUGCUGAAUUAAUAAAUUAAUGAAUCUGUGAAAGAAAGGAUGAGCCCUCUAGAAAUGAUCUUUGACUCUCUUCUAUCAAGUGCUCUUGAUUCUUUCACAAGCAGCAUUUCUGGGAUGCAUUCAUUUCUUUAUCAUUCCUACAGCCAUAGGCCUGCUCCUGACUGUCACGGCCUUAAGUCUGGACUGUGGCAGCCACAUCGUAAUUCUUAUGUGGUUCUAGCUUCUUCUCACUCCCAGCCAAGCUCCUCACUGCUGCCAGGGUAAUAUUCCUCCCACACCCUCAUCAAGAAGCCUCGCAUGGAUCAUUGUCAUGGACUAGGUCCAGACAAGCAUCUUCCACUCAGAACCAAAACCUUUCAUGAUGGACCCCAGCUUUCCCUAACCCACCUCACCUUCUACCAUUUACCAAUCCCGCCAUUUAUUUGGUGUAUAGUUUAUUAGCUGCCUCUCAGUACAAGGUACUGUGUCCUAGGUACACUUCAAUCAAACAUGCUUCCUGUCCUAUAGAGCAUAAAAUAUAUUUGGGGAGAAAAGCAUAAAAACAAUUGCAACACGGUAUCAAUCCAUUUGAAAGGAGCUGUACAGGGUGCAAGGUAGGUUCCUGGGAAUGUCUGUAACCCACACUUGGGAGAUCAGAGAAAGCUUCCCAGAGGAGAAAAGAUAUCACCUGACAUCCAAAAGAGCUUUGCUAGAAAAAUAGCACAGAGAGAAUACAUGUGUUAACCCUUGAGAGGAAUGAGUAUGGCUCUCUCAAACUGAAAAAAGUUAUUAUCUGGAGAGUAGAGUGUGAAGUAGGUGGAGGAGAGGAGAGGAAUGACAGAUGCUUUGAAGGAGUGAGUGCCAGUCACAGAGAGGGGCUGUUACCUACUUGAACUCUACUCUGAAGACAAUGAGAGAUCACAAAGCAAUUUUGAAUAGGUUGAGAUGUUAUUGCUUGAGAUUAAAAGGGGAUGGUACUGCAAUGGACACUUAAAUAAGUUACCAUUUCUUCCUUAUAAAAUAUAGGCUUAUAAAACAAAUUCACACUCUGGUUCCAGAGCUGUAAAGGAAAUGUCAACUACAGUGUAGAAAGGUGAUUUUGGCCUUGGAGCCUGGGAGAGAUCUGAAGAGCCCACACUCAGGUCUUGCCUGAGCUCUGUCAACAACUUUGGUUCUGCUCUGUGCCUCGGCUUCCUCAUCUGUCAAAUAACAGGGAUUAACUGACUAUAUGACCUCCCAGGCCUCUCCCAGCUCCUCCCUUCUCUGAAUCCUGGCCAGUGGUCAUAAGGCUGAAGAUUUGCUAAGAGUCACCCUUGAGGAGCUUGUUAAACUCACUCUCCAAAACGCAGGUAUUGUAAAUGCUGACAUUAAAAAAAAAAAAAAAAAAAAAAAAAGGUACUCCAGGUGAAUCUCAGGCAGGGAGGGAUUCCUCAGACAAAGCUUUGAGAAACUAUGAGAAAAAUGAGUCUCUUCAUUGAAACAGGAAUGAAGCCUGGGAAGGGCCCACUCCUUCAGGCAUUGGCCUGUGAAUCAUCAAAAGGAGACUCAAUCCCGCAAUUAAACCCUUAGAACGUAGAAGCCAAAUAAGAAUAGAUCAUCUCAAGGAAUUGAAAUGGACAGAAUAAAAAUCUCCCCUUAGUGCUGUAGUGCUGUGCCCUGCCCCGUGCCAAGCACUUGAUCCUCAUUACUGCCUGUUAGUCACAGCCUGCUGCAUGGGCAGAUGGGCUGCAUGGUCAGGUUCUGAAGCUAGGGGGCACAACCAGGGAGCAAGGACGCCUUUGGCCUUUGUGGUGAGGCGCAUGCAUCACAAAUGAUGACAGGCUUUGGUUAGCUUUUCUAACAUCCCAUCAUUUGUUCAUUGAUGUUUCCGCCACAUAUAGAACAGGUUUGCCCUUUGCUUUCAUGUUGCUUCCCUAACAUCUUUUCAUUUUAACCGAAACAACUAACAUGUCAAGAUAUUACCAUAAUAUAUGAUUGAAAAUAUGCCACUUUUUGAGAACGUGCUCAAGGGAAUCUCCCACAUUCCCUUUGCCUUCCAGCUAUGCCAUGAAGUAGGUAAUAUCAAAAUCGAAUGCUUCUAAGAAUUCAUCUAUGGAAAUCUUUGCAGGAAAUAAUCCAUCAACCUUUGAGAUAGGCAGGCCUUUAAAACCAGGGUGAUUCCCUGCAUACAAAACCAUAACUAAUGGCAAAUUAGAAUAAGCCUAACAUCCGGUACUCUCGAUCAACAAGAAAAAAAAAAUGGAACCUAAGGAGAAUAAGAUUUCAAAGGCGAAGUGCAGAUUCAGAAUUAACCAAGGAAAUAGGUGUUCUGACAUUAAGAAAUAUUUCUUGUUGUCACCGUCAGAAUAUUUUUGACAUUGAGGAGAUGACACAAGAGCCUAAACAGGAUGAGAAUACUGAGCUUUUAAGCAGCAUUUGCCUUGAUUUUUACUUUAAAUUCACUGGACCCUUCUGCUGCAAAGAUCAAUUUUCCAGAGGGAACUUAUUCACCAAGAUCCAGUACUAAUUACUUUGUCAGUGUAACUCCCAUGGAGAAGAAAGCUCAUAUCUUAGAGGACAGGGCAGCAUAAGUGGGGCAAAAUGGACUUCGGAGGCAGGCAGACCUGGAUUUGAAUGCUCGCUCCACCACUCUCUAGCUGUGUGUCUUUGUCAAGUUGCAAAACUUCCCAAAGCCUAUGCUUCCUCAGCUGUAAUGGGAAUAACAACCAGGAAUUUAAAAAUGUAUUAUAAGAAUGAGAGGCCGGGCACAGUGCUUCAUGCCUGUAAUCCCAGCGCUUUGGGAAGCCGAGGCGGAUGGAUCACUUGAGGCCAGGAGUUAAGACCAGCCUGGCCAACAUGGUGAAACCCCGUCUUUAUUAAAAAUACAAAAAUUAGCCAGGUGUGGUGGCAUGCACCUGUAAUCCCAGCUACUUGGGAGGUUGAGACAUGAGAAUCACUUGAACCUGGGAGGUAGAUGUUGCAGUGAGACGAGAUCACGCCACUGCAUGCCUCUACAACCUCCAACUCAGAGGCCUGUUAGAAAAUGAGCUUCUGAACCUGGAAAACUGUGCACUGUUCUACAGACUCAGCCAAAACAGGCCACGUGUCUCAACAAUCUCCACAGUAGUACAAAGGUUUCCUUACAGUUUAGUAGCAGGCAUUGUUUAAUGCAGGGAUUUUCAACAUUCUAUUGCCAAAAAUUCCAUUAAAUCAUGUUUUUGAAGCUCUUGCAUACAAAAUAGGUGAUAUUUAUUCAACAAAUUAUUGUUUCACUUCUUAUUAAUCUAAGGUAUAAAAAAUUUUCCCAUAGAGGUUUUGAAUGAACACCAUUCAUUCAUCAGUAAAUGUCUAUGCAGUACUAUGUGUGAUAUGCUGGGGACACAAUGCUGACAGAGACCUGAUUCCUGCUCGCAGUUUGUUGGGAAGAUGGACAAGUGAAAGCCAUGACAGUGAGAAAGAGCCGUGACAAGGUAUUUCUUUGGAGGCCAAGUCACAUGGGAACCUCUUUGUCCACCUUCCCUCUCAGGGCCCAAAUAUCCCUCUCCAAAGAUUCAGAAGCAAAAUGGGAGGAAGUUGACAAUGAUGACAAUCUAUGCCUGACUUCAGCCCCAAGGAAGGUUUGACCUAGAGAGGUGUGAAGAUGUCAAACCUACACUGUCCAAUAUGGUAGCCAGUAGCACAUGUGACUCUUUACAUUGACUUUUAAAUGGACUACAAUUAAAUAAAAUUUAAAAAUCCAUUUCACGGGCAUACCAGCCACAUUUCAAGUAUGUCGUAGCUGCAUGUAACUAAUGGCUACUAUACCGGAAAGCACACACAGAAAAUGUUUCAUCAUCACAUAAAAUUCUGUUGAACAAAUCUGUGUUGAAUAACAACACACUUAGGACUGUGUUCAAUCCUAAGUUGAACACAAUCCUUAGGAUCUUGCUGAAUGGACAGAGCUGCAGUGGGAAAGGAGAAGAGUGAGGCUCUAGGAAAAUCCUGCCCUCUAAAAAAUGAAGGGCUCGUUCUAUGGUUGGCCUCCAUGCCAUGACCAAAGAUCAUGGACAGGUUAAAUCGAUUAGGAAAGCACUUCUCACAUAUCUAACCUGCCCUGCCAUGGGUUCAAUUUACGUAGUACACUGGACAAUGUAGCUUGAAUCCUAAAUUCAAAUGUGUUAAAUAUUCUUAGUAUUCCGUCUGUAUACUAACAAAGAAAAAAAUGUUAAGUGACUGUGCCACGCUCUCCUUCCAGAGCAGUGUUUCUUAAUUUCAGCACUACUGACAUUUUGGGCCAGAUAAGUCUUUGCUGUGGGGGCUUGUCCCACGCACUGCAGGAUGUUUGGCAGCACCCCUGGCCUCCACCCUCUAGAUGCUGGGAGCACUCUCCACCUCCACCCCCAUUGUAACAACUAAAAAUGUUGCCAGACGUUACCCAGUGUACGCUGGAGGGAAAAAUCACUCCAGGGUGAGGGCCACUGAUCUAGAAUAUGAUACAUGGCAUCUGUGAUAUGAGAAAAUGACCUUGGGCCUGGUCGUAAAAGAAUGUGCCACCUCCUCACCUGAAACACAACCAAGCAGUGGCCCGUGACUGACUUGGCAAAAUAACACUUUGUUCAGAGGAAGCUCAUAAAACAGUUUUGGCCGGGAGGAUGAGCUAACCUCAUAAUAGGUACUUGAGAGAAGCCACCCCGCUAAUGCAUGCUGUGUACCAUGAUUAGGAUUGACUUAACUAGGGUGAAGAAAUCAUAUAAUUUGCUGUGUCUACAGAUAUGUAAGUAAUCCAAAUGUGUGUUUCUUUUUUAAGUAUCAAAGGAUAAUUCUAGAAUAAAAUUCAUAGUCACAGUCAUAUUAAAAAACGUCCACAUUUUCAAAAGUCUAACUACAUUUUUCACUCUCCUCUAAAAAUGGAGACACAACACUGUGUUCUAACCUGAAGAUUUGCAUACUCAAUUCUAACUCAAAACUUUAUCUGCUGACAUCCGUGCUUCAUAAAUAAUUCCCAUGUGAUAAUUAUGUAUCUUGAGCAGAAUUACCAAUGCAUUUGUCUUGAAUGCUUAAUAUAUUUAAUGGGAAAUGUCUCGGGAAUUUUCAGUUCUGUCACUGCCAAGAGGAGGAAGUAUUAACCAUUCAGAAUAAGAUACUCACAUUAGAUUUUGUGCAUUAAGAAAGUCACAACUGAGGCUGUAGGACUUAAAUAGAUGUUUCUCCAGAGAAACAAUAGUCACUACUACACUCCCUUUCCUCCCUUAAAAGGCUGUCCAUUCCUAAAGGGUAGGGACUAUAUGUUCUUCCAGUACCUCUACUAGUGUUCUGUGCAUAUUAGGCAUUUAAUACAAUUUUUGUGCAUGAACAGACAGACUCAGAACAAAGCCUCUGAGUAUAUUGCCAUCCAGCUUGGAUGAGGAUAUAAGUCUCUUAAUCCCCAACUUAUCUUGUUUUCUAACACAAGCAAUAUAUGGGGAAUUAUGCUUAAGAGGCUGUGCCACUUUGUAUUUAAAAACCCAACUCUGUUUUUUAGACUCCUUGUUCCUUAAGUUGGUUAUGUGUUAGGUGACCUUGCUAGUUCCCUAAUUUUUCCAAGUUUCCAUUUUCUCACCAAUAAAUCGAGACUAAUUAAUAAUGACACAUUAAUUUGAGGUCUAAAUGAGAAAAUCUACACAAGGCUUUUAGCACACUGCCUGACACAUAGAAAGUGUUUUCUAAAUGCUAGCUAUUAUUUUUAUGGCAUAAUUCUGUCAUAGAUCCAAAAAGACUUUUUUAUUUUUAAAAAAUCAUAGUCGCAUUUUUUUAAUUAUUACUUUUCUUCUCUUUGAAGUCAAUCCUCUCAACACAGCUUGAGAAUUGCAAUGAAUUUGGGGAUCUGAGAAACAAUCUUUUCUAAAUAUUUGUAUGUUAUUUGGAAACAAUUACAGUGGCAAAAGAGAACAAGAGGCUACCUUUUAGUAUCAAUCUAUCUGUACACUUAAAAAAAAAAAAAAAAAGAAAAAAGCAGCCCAUGACAAGUACAUGCUGAUUUUUAAGAAGAGGUGAGGUAAAAGUGGUACAGCUUUAUUAAGUACAAGAACUUAACAAUCCCUUUUAUUAAACAGAACUUGAAUUUGUAUUACACUGAAUUUAUAGAUCAAUUUGAGGAGGAUUGAUAUGGGUAUGAUAUGGAGUCUUGUUAUUUAAUAAUGUGGUUUCUCACUUAGGAUUGUCUUAUAUCUUUCAAUAAUUUUAGAAUUCUUUUUUAAAAGUUCUUGCAUAUCAUUUCUCAGGUUUGCUUUAAACGGCUGUACAGAUUUUUGAAUGGGGUAUUAUUAAUUGUUCGAAUUGGUUAAAGCAAGAAUGCUAUUGUUUUUGUAUAUUGAUCCUCUAUCCAAAAAAUGUACUGAAUUCUCUAACUACUGCUAGUUUGCAGAUUUUCCUGGAUUUGCAAAGUUAAAAAUCAUAUGCAAAUAAAUAAUUUUGUAUCUUCCAUUUUACUUUUGUUAUAUUUUAUUUCUCUUGCCUUAUUUAGUUAACUAGAAUGUCCAGUUAAUAUUAAAUGUGGAUAAUGUCCAAGGGCAUUGUUUGCUUAUAUUUUCCUUAAAAGGAAUGCUUCUAAUGUUUAACCAUUAAUAUAAUGUUAGCUAUACAUUUUUUUAUUGACUAAGAAAGUUUAUUUUUUCUUAAUUCAAGACGGAUUAAAGACUUAAAUGUUAGACCUAAAACCAU